UACGUAGGUGGCAAGCGUUAUCCGGAUUUAUUGGGUGUAAAGGGCGUGUAGGCGGGAGCGCAAGUCAGAUGUGAAAACCCAGGGCUCAACCCUGAGCCUGCAUUUGAAAUUGUGUUUCUUGAGUGCUGGAGAGGCAAUCGGAAUUCCGUGUGUAGCGGUGAAAUGCGUAGAUAUACGGAGGAACACCAGUGGCGAAGGCGGAUUGCUGGACAGUAACUGACGCUGAGGCGCGAAAGCGUGGGGAGCAAACAGG
rnacentral:rRNA from 1 species